rnacentral:snRNA from 1 species
AAGUGAUUUCAGCUCUUUUACUAUUUGUCCAGCAGGUUUCCCACCGUGUGGGAAGCCUCA